AUUUGGACAUGGGGGGAACCCUGAUCCAGCCAUGCCGCGUGUGUGAAGAAGGCCUUUUGGUUGUAAAGCACUUUAAGCGAGGAGGAGGCUACUCUAGUUAAUACCUAGGAGAUAGUGGACGUUACUCGCAGAAUAAGCACCGGCUAACUCUGUGCCAGCAGCCGCGGUAAUACAGAGGGUGCAAGCGUUAAUCGGAUUUACUGGGCGUAAAGCGCGCGUAGGUGGCCAAUUAAGUCAAAUGUGAAAUCCCCGAGCUUAACUUGGGAAUUGCAUUCGAUACUGGUUGGCUAGAGUAUGGGAGAGGAUGGUAGAAUUCCAGGUGUAGCGGUGAAAUGCGUAGAGAUCUGGAGGAAUACCGAUGGCGAAGGCAGCCAUCUGGCCUAAUACUGACACUGAGGUGCGAAAGCAUGGGGAGCAAACAGGAUUAGAUACCCUGGUAGUCCAUGCCGUAAACGAUGUCUACUAGCCGUUGGGGCCUUUGAGGCUUUAGUGGCGCAGCUAACGCGAUAAGUAGACCGCCUGGGGAGUACGGUCGCAAGACU
rnacentral:rRNA from 1 species